UACGAAGGGGGCGAGCGUUGUUCGGAUUUACUGGGCGUAAAGGGCGCGCAGGCGGCAGAUCAAGUCAGACGUGAAAGCCCCGGGCUUAACCUGGGAACUGCGUUUGGGACUGAUUUGCUAGAGAUCGGGAGAGGAGAGUGGAAUUCCCAGUGUAGAGGUGAAAUUCGUAGAUAUUGGGAAGAACACCGGUGGCGAAGGCGGCUACUCUGGGCCGAUACUGACGCUGAGGAGCGAAAGCGUGGGGAGCGAACGAGGAUUGAUGA
rnacentral:rRNA from 1 species